AAUUCUCAACUCCGAUCGAUUUGUUUCGACCUCGGAGCUUGGACUUUGGAGCGUGCUGGCGUCGGUCGGCUCCUCUCAAAUGCAUCAGCGGAAUCUAACGUUUCGGACGUCAGUGUGAUAAUCACGUUGCGCUGUCGACCGAUCCUGAAAGCCCGCUCAUAAUGGUCUUCGGACAACUUCAUAUCAA
rnacentral:misc_RNA from 1 species